rnacentral:rRNA from 1 species
AGCGAACGCUGGCGGCAGGCCUAACACAUGCAAGUCGAACGAACCCUUCGGGGUUAGUGGCGGACGGGUGAGUAACACGUGGGAACGUGCCUUUAGGUUCGGAAUAACUCAGGGAAACUUGUGCUAAUACCGAAUGUGCCCUUCGGGGGAAAGAUUUAUCGCCUUUAGAGCGGCCCGCGUCUGAUUAGCUAGUUGGUGAGGUAAAGGCUCACCAAGGCGACGAUCAGUAGCUGGUCUGAGAGGAUGAUCAGCCACAUUGGGACUGAGACACGGCCCAAACUCCUACGGGAGGCAGCAGUGGGGAAUCUUGCGCAAUGGGCGAAAGCCUGACGCAGCCAUGCCGCGUGAAUGAUGAAGGUCUUAGGAUUGUAAAAUUCUUUCACCGGGGACGAUAAUGACGGUACCCGGAGAAGAAGCCCCGGCUAACUUCGUGCCAGCAGCCGCCGUAAGAC